rnacentral:rRNA from 1 species
CCUUUUCUAUUAUUCCAUGCACAAUCAUUCAAGCAAAACGCCUGUUUAGAGCUUACAGUAUCGGACAUCCACACCUGGUUAGAGGCACAGAGCCGAACACUGUCAGAAAGCCGGAGACAUCCAGUACACAUCCGAAGAUGGACCGGAGCUCCGGCUGCAGAUCCAACUACGAGCUUUUUAACCGCAGCAAUUCUAUGCAUUUUGAGAGUGGAAUUACCGCGGCUGCUGGCACCAGACUUGCCCUCUCAUAGAUACUCGUUAAAGGGUUUAAAUUGUACCCAUUACGAUGGUUGGCCUCAGAAGAGAUCAACCUAGUUAUUUCUCGUCACUACCUCCUCCAAAUUCUGAGUGGGUAAUUUGCGCGCCUGCUGCCAUCCUUAGACGUAGUGGCCA